CGCCAUCCCUGCCGAUCCUGUUGCUGCCGCCUUCCCGCCGUGCUCGGGCUGCCCGGGACUCUAGCCGCCAGGCUUCGCGUCGCCCAGCGGCAGAUCGGGCUCCUGGGAGCCUCUCCCCUGGCCGUUUGCUCGGCCUCGGCCCCAGCUGCCCUGGGGCCUAGCCACUAGCUCCCCUGGCGCUAGCCUACCCUGUCUUGACCGCACCCUGAAGAUUUGGGAAGUCUUUCUCCAUCCCAAGAGUCGUCUCUGCAAAAGUUGGUGUCCUUCCUGGUGCUGAACCACGCUUCUGCUCAAAAUGUGUUGAGCGUCGUCUGUCUGCAAAGCACGGUGCCAGGAGCUUUGGUGGAGAAGGCAUGGGGUACAUGUGUAAAGAGUACAGGCUUUUGGUUAAACCUGAAGUCCUCCUCUACUUUCUGGGGGACCCUGGCCGUCCUUGCUGAGCCUCCGUUGACUUCUCUAAUGGGGACGGUAAUGCCUACCUGACCACAAGCUGAUGAGUAAAUGAGCUAUGAGUGCAAAGUGUGGUGCAGUUCUGGCGUGUGCCAGCCUCUCAAGUCUCAAGCUGAGCUUUCGCUCACCGUCCACCACUGCUGUCUGCCGCUGUCACAGACCCACAGCUGACUUCCAUCCCUCUGGAUCCAGCGAGGCGCCCAUUGCUGCUCCUGAUCGGGCUAAAGGCUUGCCCUUGUUCCUGCAGGGCUAAGUGCCCAGGUUCGUCCUAAUCUAGCUAAACACUAGUCACUGGGUUCCACGAUUCUCUUCCAUGACCCACAGCUUCUAAUAGAGCUAUAACACUCGCCGCUUGGCCCAAGAUUCCAUUCCUUGGAAUCCAUGAGGCCAAGAACCCCAGGUCAGAGAACACAAGACUUGCCACCAUCUCGGAAGUGGCCCGUCACCAUCUUGGAAGCGACCUGCCACCAUCUUGGGAACUUGGGGAGCAAGGACCCCCAGUAACAUAGUGACCAGGAGGAAAUUCUUCCUCUCAACAGCUAAUGCAGCAGGAUCUCUUACACCGUACCCUCCCUCACCUUGCUCUUGCUCUUCAUGGUAGAACACGUACCAUAUCUUAGCUGUACUCUAUCAACUGCGCAUCUGAAGUAAAGAGUGAAGUCUUCUUUGUUUCCAGUCAUGGAGCAACAACUUGCUAUGAUACUGGCCUUCUGUAGCUGACUCUUCUUUGUCUACCCAGGCACUCUAAUGGAACUUUAAUUCUAGCUAAAGUUAUUUUCUCAGACUCCUUUGAAGCAAGGGGCAGCCAUUUGACACACUUCAAGCCAAUGAGUUGAAUGUUGAACUUAUUGCUGAGGCUUCUAAGAAAGCAUAUAGAUGGAAGGGCUCUGCGAAUCAGAGCUCAUCUUUGCCCUACACCUGUCUUCCAGGAGGAACGUGAAGAGCUACAGCACUCAUAGUUCAGUCAUGAAACAACAAACAGGAGAACAAUGGCCUGCAUUCCAAGGAUGGCAGAGCAGAAAACUGUAAAGAGGCUGGGCAUUUGAUGGCAUUGUGGUGCCACCAGACAAGCCCUAAGCUAUCUUCCCUAAGACUUCUUGUUUUGGGUCAAAUUCCUGUUUAAGCCAGGAAGUUUUCACAACCUUCACCACCCAGUCCUGCAGCUGUUGUCUCAUGCUUGUGACUCAGACUUCCAGGAAUCCUUUAGAAGUGAUGUGGUGAUCUCGUUUGGCACUAUGCAAUGUACACUAUUAAUGAAGGUACCCUAAUAAUUAUAAAUAUUAAGACAGAAUGUGCAUUUCACAGUGAUUUAAACACUCUUUAACACUCUUUAAAACAGUCCAUCAAAGGUUCGCUAACACAGAGAAAAACAUUUAAAAUUGUAAUAAAGGCUGGGCGCAGUGGCUUGCCUCUAAUCCCAGCACUUCAGGAGGCCGAGGCAGGCAGAUUGCUUGAGCUCAGGACUUUAAGACCAGACUGGGCAACACGGAGAAACCCCGUCUCUACAAAAAAAUUCAAAAAUAAGCCGGGCGUGGUGGUGCACGCCUGUGUUCCCAGCUACUCUGAAGGCUGAGGUGGGAGGAUUGCUUGAACCCAGAAGGUAGAGGUUGCAGUGAGCUGAGACCAUACCAUGCACUCCAGCCUGGGUGAUAGAGUGAGACUCUGUCUCAAGAAAGAAUAAAAAGUAAAAAUAAAAUUGUAAUGAACAUUCAAGAAAUUGAAAUAUACGGGUACAAAGAUGAUAUAGUAUCAGAAAAAAUGAUUUUUUUUAAAUUUUACAGCCACUUGAAUUAAGUACCUAAAAAUGCUUUUGAUGCUGUUGAGCUUGGCUAUGAUAACAACAGUAUGUAAAUAUUCCACUUUUGUUAAAAUAUGUAUAAACAGGUAUGUGUACAGAGCAGUGUAUGAAAGGGUGGUCCCCAGAAUAUUGAUAGUGUUUGACGUGGAAUUUGGGCUAGGAAAAAUAAUUACCAAUGAGGAGAUACAAGAUAGCAGCAGUUAGGGAGAGGCCGUCCAUGCAGCUGCCUAUUUAAAUCACUGUCCAUGUUAACAGAUAAGAACUGGAAAUGUCAAAGAACAAUUGCCCAGCUCAGUUACCAUCUGCUACUAAAGAUAGCCCCAGCUGGGUGCGAUGGCUCACACCUGUAAUCCCAACACUUUGGGAGGCUGAGGCAGGUGGAUCACCUGAGGUCAGGAAUUCAAGACCAGCCUGGCCAACAUGGUGAAACCCCAUCUCUACUAAAAAUACAAAAAAUUAGCUAGGUGUGGUGGUGCAUGCCUGUAAUCCCAGCCACUAGGGAGGCUAAGGCAGGAGAAUUGCUUGAACUCUGGCAGCAGAGGUUGCAGUGAGCUGAGAUUGUGCCACUGCACUCCAGCCUGGUCGACAGAGUGAGACUCAGUCUCAAAAAAAAAAAGCCCGUAAUGAGAACUCUCAAGAGUACCAUGGUAAUAUAAUAUGGUAAUAGAUAAUAAAAGAGUCAUGAUCAUUAAUAAUAAAUAUAAUACUUCUACUUCAACUGAGGAAUGGAAAACUAAACAUCAUAUGUUCUCAUAUGUCCCUAAGCUAUGAGGAUGCAAAGGCAUAAGAAUGAUACAAUGGACUUUGGGGACUUUCAGGGAAAGGGUGAGAAGGGCGUAAGGGAUAAAAGACUACAAAUUGGGUUCAGUAUAUACUGCUCGGGUGAUGGGUGCACCAAAAUCUUAAAAAUCGCCAAAGAACUUAUGUAACUAAAUACCACCUGUUCCCCAAAAAACUAUGGAAAUUAAAAAUUAAAAAAUAAGUAUAAUUUCUGCUUUAGCGAUAUUAACUAUUCAGUACACAAUAAGUGAGUUUAGCAAUUCAGUGAUUUCUGACUGUUGGGUAGCUCUCUUUGUUAACAAAUAAAAUAUAAAUUUGAAGAAACUUAUUUGUAAAUAA
rnacentral:lncRNA from 10 species